AUGCAGGACAGGGAAGGAAAGAACAAAGAUGGAUCAAUUUUGUUAUGGGAAGUGAGAUUCAAUGUAGCUGUUGGAAUAGCUGAGGCCCUUGAUUACCUACACAUAGAAGCUUUGAAGCCUGUUAUACAUAGAUAUGUCAAGUCUUCAAACAUUCUUCUUUCCCAAGACUUUGAAUCACAAGUAAUUAAAAAUAUUAUUAUCAUUCAUAUCAUAACUGCAAUUGCAUUUUAG